rnacentral:lncRNA from 1 species
CCCUCCUUCCCUAUUUAUAGGGACACUCCACCGACUUAGCCCAUCUUCUAGGAGUUUCUUUUACAAUUUUUUUUUCUAGAAAAAUAGGCUUUUUAAAGGUAAAUAUCUCUGCCAUUUUUAGAGAUAAUUCCAUAGAGUCUUCUAGAGUUUUUCUUGAAAUUUCUAGCUCAUAUUUAUCUUGAAGUUUCUAGAAAAUUGGAUCAAUAAUUUAACACUCCUCCUUGAUCCAAUUUCAUGCUACUCCGAGCAUUUCCCGCAAUAUCUCGAACUUGGCUCGCGAUAGUGCUUUAGUGAAGAUUUCGGCUACUUGUUCCUCGGUUUUGCAAUAUUUCAGCUUGAUCUCUUUGUUAUAUUGCACCUUUCGUAUGAAGUGAUAUUUGAUGUCGAUAUGUUUGGUUCUUCAAUGGAAUACUGAAUUCUUUGAUAUAGCGAUUGCAGACUUAUUGUCGCAAAGUAUUGGAGUUGAUUCCAUCUGUGCUUCUCUAAUGUCUUCUAGAAUUCUUCAAAGCCAUACUGCUUGACUGGUGGUUGUAGUAGCUGCAAUGUAUUCAGCUUCUGUGGUAGACUGUGCCACCAAGUCUUGUUUUUUGGAUGCCCAUGAGAAUAUUUCAGAACCUAGAGUGAAUGCAUAGCCAAUUGUACUUUUCCUAUCAUCAGCUGAACUAGCCCAGUUGCUAUCAGUGUAGCCAAUGAACUUGGCGUUAGCACUUGGGCGAUACCAAAUGCCGUAAUCUAUAGUUCCUCGUAAAUAUCUGAGAAUUCUCUUGGCAGCUCCAGAGUGAAUUUGACUCGGACUUUGCAUGAAUCGUGAUAGUAGACUUGUUGCAUACAUAAUAUCCAGUCGUGUAGCAGUGAGAUAUAGCAGACUGCCGAUCAAACUUCUAUAGAGGGAGGCAUCGGCUUUUUCUGCUCCAUCUUCCUUCAAUAGUUUUUCAUUUGUCAUGAGCAGGGUUGAAACUGCUUUGCAAUAGUUCAUCUUGAAUUUCUUUAAGAGAUUCUCGAUAUAUUUUUUCUGCGAGAUAAAAAUUCCUUCAUCUUGAUUGACUUCAAACCGAGGAAAUAGUUCAUCAAGCCCAAGUCCGUCAUUUCAAAUGUUUUCAUCAUUUCUUCUUUGAAUUCUUGGAUCAUUGUCUCAUUAUUUCCUAUAUAUAUGAGAUCAUCUACAUAUAGAGAGACAAUGAGAGUGUCGAACUCCCCUUGGGUCUUGAUGUAGAGUGUUGGCUCACUUAUACUCCUCCUGAAUCCUUGCUUGAUGAAGUACUCAUCAAUUCUACUAUACCACGCACGUGGUGCUUGUUUUAACCCAUAUAAGGCUUUCUUGAGUUUGAGAACUUUUUCUUCUUGGCCUAUUACAGUAAAGCCUUGUGGUUGUUCCACAUAUAUUUCUUCUUGAAGAUAUCCAUUUAAAAAUGCCGACUUCACAUCUAGUUGAUGGAUAUUCCAUUCUUUUUGUGCCGCUAAGGCUAUAAGUGCUCAAAUAGUAUCAAGGCGAGCGAUGGGAGCAAAAGUUUCAGUAUAGUUGAUACCUGGUUGUUGCAAGUAUCCUUUCGCCACAAGCCUUGCUUUAUGCUUCUGGAUUGAUUCCGCAUUGAGCUUCGUCUUAUAGACCCACUUGACACCAAUGAUCUCUUUGUCUUCGGGUCGAUCGACAAGCUCCCAAGUUUCAUUUUUCUCAAUCAUCUUGAUCUCUUCCUCCAUGGCUUUUAUCCAGACUUCAUCUUUGGAUGCUUGUUCGUAGUUUUCUGGUUCCAAAAUAGCAAAGCUGCAUGUGUCAUAAAUUCUUCUAAGGGCUUUUACCCUUAGUACUGGAGACUCUGGAGUAGAUUCUUCUUGCGUUACUCUUGGAGAGCUUGGUGGAGUUAUGUCAUGAGUGGUGGAAUCCGGUACUUCUCCUUCUUCUUGUGACGUUGACUCCUCUUGAGCAGGUGGUAUGUCUAGCAAGGUGAUAUACUUCUUCUUGAUCUUCUCAUCCUCCCAAUUCCAGGCAGCAUUCUUGUCGAACUCGACGUCUUGACUAAUCAUAAGCUUCUUAGUUCUUAGGUUGUAAAUCCGAUAGCCUUUUGAUUGGUCAUUGUAGCCAAGGAAUAUUCCUUUUUCUGUCUUUUCAUCUAGCUUACUCAUUUUUUGAGCAGGGAUGUGGACGUAGCAAAUGCAUCCAAACACUUUGAGAUGCUUUGCUGAAGGCUUCCGUCCACUCCAUGCUUUGACUGGAGUUUUAUUUUGAACUACUUUAGUUGGACACUUGUUUAGUAGGUUUACAACAGUAUAAACUGCUUCUGCCCAGAAAGUGUUGGGAAGGCCUUUCUCCUUUAGCAUAGACCUUGCCAUCUCCAUGACGGUUCUAUUUUUUCUUUCAGCUACUCCAUUUUGUUCUAGGGCGUAGCCAACGAUUAGUUGAUGACGGACUCCUUCAUCUUCACAAAAUUUAUUAAACUCCUUUGAAUUGUAUUUUGUGCCUCUGUCACUCCUUAGGACUUUGAUUCUUUGGCCACUUUGAUUCUCGACGUGGUUCUUGAAUUUUCUAAAGAUAGAGAAAACCUCAGAUCUUUCUUGAAGAAAGUAUACCCAUGUCAUUCUUGUGUAAUCAUCAAUGAAUAGGAUGAAAUAUUUAUUUUGACUAGGUGUAGGUGUCCUCAUCGGACCGCACACGUCUGUGUGGACAAGUUCCAAUGGCUCCUUAGCUUUCCAAGCAACUCCAGAUGGGAAGGACUGUCUCUGUUGUUUUCCAAGAAGACAGCCUUCACAAACAUCCGAAAUUUCUGUGAUGGCUGGAAAAUCUCUCAUCAUAUUUUUCUGAUGGAGAAUUUUUAGCCUAGCAAAAUUGAAGUGGCCAAAUCUUCGAUACCAUAGCCAUGAAUCAUCAAGUUGAGCUUUCAUGGCUAUAUCUUUGACAUAUUUCCAUUGAAUAGGAAAAUUGUUAUUUUUCAUCUUAUGGCAAUGAGAUUUUUAUAUUUAUCAUAGAUAAUGCAGGUAUCUCUAUUAAAAUAUAGAGAAUACCCACUUUGUAUCAUUUGGCCCACACUUUAAGAGAUUUUGUGCAAGACGAGAGACUAGAUAUACAUUAUGUAUAUAUUUUGGGCUUUUAUUCGUUUCCACAGCGAUGGUGCCUUUUCCUUUGACAUCUACUAAUGCACCAUUGCCCAACUUUACUUGGGAUUUCACUGACUUAUCAAUAUUAGUGAAUAUAGAUUCGUCCCCUGUCGCGACCUAAAUUUUCGGGUGCACCACCUAAAACUAGGUUAAUGGACUACUAAGUUUUUACACUUAGCUCGGGCUCUCCCAAGCCCAUACCAAAUCGCGACUUAAGUCUAAAUUUUUAAACAUGCAAGAGGUUAUUAUCUAGGAGUCGCCACUAAUCGGUUUAUGGUAGGUCGAUUAGACACCUAAGUAAAAUAAAUGGAGAUUUAUUUUACUCCUACGAACCAGAGACUGAGGGUACGGAGACUUGGUUACACUAGAAUUUUCUAAUGCCCUUUCGGUACCAUUUCUUUUUAAUUUUUCAAAAUGUUUUUGCAAGUAGAUUUAUUUUAACCUAAAUUACUAUCAUGCAAAUGUGGUGAUCACACGGGUGCUCAUCCAUUAUUUAAAACAUUCAAAUAAAUAAAUUGCAUCACACAAAGCAAGUAAUCAUUUUUUUUUGGAUUUUCUUAAAAUUGGAGUUCUUUUAUAAAAAUGCAUUUUUUUAACUAAAUGCCUUAAUCCUAUUAAUAUGCAAAUUCUAAUUAAAUGGGUCAAUUAUGCAAAUUAAUUAACAUGCACCUCAUGACCUAAUUUUACUAAUGAACAAAUUCUGAUUAAAUGCCUCUAUUAUGCGAACUAGUUAACAUGUGCCUAGUAUUUUUGCAAUUUUUUUUAUUGGAAUUCAAAAUUUAUGAAAACCCUAAUAAACCUAUCUAAAAAGGGAUAAUUUUCUAAUUUAUUCUAGGGAUUAAUUUGACUUAAACCCUAUCCUAUCUCAGAAAACUAUUUUUUUAUUUUAAAAAAAAAGAGAAUGAGAAUAUGAAAAUGUGCCGAUUAUAUCUAAGACUCUAAAAAGGCUAUUUAAGUCUAAUCCUAACUUAUUUUUUAAAAUAUCUAAAAAUGCAGUCCUAAAAAUAUAAUCCUAAAAAUUUGAUUAAUUAAACCUAGAUGUCUAUUAUAUUAACCUUAAUGUCCUAAGCUCAUGCAAAGUUUUUUUGAAUAUUUUGAUUUUUGAUUUUUUAGUUUCUUUUUAGUUUUUUUUUUAAAGUUGAAUAAUUGUUAAACAAUGGUUAAAUCUAAACAAUUAAUAUAAUCACUAAAUAAAGGAUCAAAAUAAUCGGAAAAAUAACCUGACGUCUCACAGGUUAAAUUAAUAAUUAUUCUAACCCUAAUCACCACAAUAACUUAAAAUAAUUAAAAAAUCUAGUCCGAAGUCUUACGGACCAAAUUAAAUAAUUAUUAUGAUUUAACAAUUGAGAUUCUACCAAAAAGCCCAAAAAUUAAAAAAUAAUUAGAAAAAUGACCCGAUGUCUCUCGGAUCAAAUUAAUAAUUAUAUUAAUUUCGGACAAAAUUCCUACGGAUAAUGCAUACUAAAUUUACUAAUAUUAACAUCCACCAUUACAAAUUAAAUACCUAAACUAAAAAUGCUAUCAAAUGAAAUAAGCAAAAAUAACGUAACAAAUAAAAUAAACUAAACUAUAAAAGUAAAACAAAAUAAAAUAAAAAGAACAAAAAACUACCUAAAGGUAAAAGGGGGGUAAACCGGACAGCGCUGGCCUGUCGUCGGGGCUUCGGCGGGGAGCGGCUGCAGGUGGACGGCGGCAGGCUUGAGCUCGGGGCAGCAGAGAUCGGUGGAGCAAGGGCACAGCGCGGGGUCUGUUGGGGCAGAGAAGGGUCGCGGCGACAGGGCGCGGGCUGAGGCGCGGUGGCGGAGUCGUCUGCGGUGCGGGGCUCGGGCGGAGGCGCGGUGGCGGAGUCGUCUGCGGUGCGGGGCUCGGGUCCAGGCGCGAGGGGCUGUUGGCUACAGAUUCGACGGCGUCGACGGUUGCGAUGGUGGGCGCGAAGAGCGAACCGGCGAGGUGGCGAGGCGCGACGGUGGCCGGCGUCGUGGUGCAGGCGCGGGCACGGGCUGGUGUCCACGUGAAGAAGAAGAACAGUUGCUGCUGCUGCUUUUUUUUUUUUUUUUUUCUGUCUCCUCACACGACGUCUCUCUGCUGUACCUUUCUGCAGAAACCAAAACUCACUUUUGGUGGACUUUGACUCAUGCAAAAAGGAAAAAUGAACAAUAGAAAUAGAAGAUGAUCCCCUUUGUACGAAUUCUCUUCCCUAUUUUUUUUAGCUCUCGCUCACUUUUCUUUUUCCUUGCACUUCUGCAGAUUGUCAGAAGAGAAGAAAAAUGACUUUUCUUGGACGACAAAGGAGGUUUCCUCUUCUUCUUUUUUCACUUUCACGAAUUCUCUCGGGUUUUCUUCUCACGAAAAUUUUCACAAAUUCCCCCAAUUUUUUCGCACCCCCCAACCUUGUGCAAGUCAACUCCUUUUUAUAAUGUUUUCGCACGACCACUUUCUAUGGUAAAUUUCAAACUUCCAUCUUCUAUUGCAUUAAAUUAAGAAUGCAAAUCGGGGCAUGAUUUCGCAAUUAGCUCGAUUUUGCGCCGAUUCCUUCCAUUUUAUAAAAAUCCUUGCCCUUUAUUUACCUAAUUUUAAAAUUGUUUCUGCAUUUAACAAAAUCUGAAUAUUCAUCAGAAUUUUAAAAUUCCAUGCAUAAUCAAUCAAAUCAAUCUCCCUCAUUUUUUUUUUCAUUUUUUCCUUUUAUUUGUUCCAAUGCAAUUUUUAUUUUCUUUAUUUUCCUAGAUUUGCUAAAAAUAGGUGUCAACAGCUGCCCCUCUUUGAAGGUGAACUCGUAGAUGUUGCAUUCAAAGACAAGUUGAGACCUAAAUGUUAAUCAUGCAGAUGUACUGAAUGACUACUCUUUUUUUUUUGGAAGAUGAGUCCCAUUUUGAAAUGAAAUUUAUAUGAUGCAUGGAAAUGCUAAUGCAAAUGAUAAAGGAACUUACCUGGAAUUACUUACCUUAGGGGAUGGUAGAGUAACUCAAGAUAGAUUGGUAUUACAUGUCCAGGACCCGUACCAUUCUACGGUCGCCCAAAAUAGUAACAUGGCUUCGUAAAGAGAUUACUUUCCUAGGACCCGUACCAUUCUACGGUCGCCUAGAAUAGUAACACGACUUCACAAAGUGACUGCUUUCCCAGGACCCGUACCAUUCUACGGUCGCCUAGAAUAGUAACACGACUUCACAAAGUGACUGCUUUCCCAGGACCCGUACCAUUCUACGGUCGCCUGAAUGAUGAAAUUGCUCUUCCAGGACCCGUACUAUUCUACGAUCGCCUGUUAGAGCAAUAAAUGUUGUCUAGGACCCGUACCAUUCUACGGUCGCUUAAACUGGGAUUGUUUGGUUGUGUCUAGGACCCGUACCAUUCUACGGUCGCCUAAACUGGGAUUCUUUUUCAGGACCCGUACCAUUCUACGGUCGCCUGAAUAAGGAAUAGGUGUUGUCAAGGACCCGUACCAUUCUACGGUCGCCUGUUAGAGCAAUAAAUGUUGUCUAGGACCUGUACUAUUCUACGGUCGCCUAGACUAAGGUUUUGCUUGGCUAGGACUCGAACCAUUCUUCGGUCGCCCAGCCUUUCGACAGAAAUCAUCCGACCAGGACCCGAACCAUUCUUCGGCCGCCUUAAUCAGAUUGAAUCUGGAGGAAAAAUCUUUGGGGGACAACUCAAUUAAGUGUCGGUAUGCUUAAAAGGGAAUACCUGUGCAAUAACAAAUAUUCAAGGUAUGGAUAGAGAUGUACUUACCUGGUAACAUCUCCGAUCUUCGAAGAUACGUCUCCUGCAAAACAUGGUCAUAGGAGAAGCAACAUGCAUUUGUAAUCAUAAACAUGCAUCAAUAUAAUGGAGGUUCAUGAUGAUUUCCAUUAAUCUUGCAUCACCUAAUUUCCAUUGGGAAGUAUCUUAAAAGAUAUUCCAAUCUGAACACAUGAGUGUCAUCGAUGUGUCAAAUAAGGGAUCUUUUGGUCUGAAAGGACUUUUCUCUCAUCCUUAUCAAAAGGGUUGUUUCAUCCUGACCUUUGACGCAGGAUUUUAACAAUCACUCUAUCUCACUAUCAUCAUGCUAAACAAGGUUUUGUGCAAUCUCGCAAGUGAUACGACCUUACCAAUCUGAGAGGUCUUGAACAAGGACCGUAAUGUGGGCUUGGUCAACGGCUUAACAAAAGGGACUUUUUGAGUCGAGGCUUUUGAAAGAAUGAGUGAUAUUCUGUAAUCAUCUCUGGGUUUACAAGUCAAGAACCCUGCAAAAUGAGAGAAGAAUAAUCUUGCUCGCACUUCUUUGAGCGAUGCUUAAACAUGUGAACUCCUAGGUUAAUUCAAGUGCCCUAAUCAGAAGAGACUUUGCAAAGGACGUAACGUAGGCUUGGUUCAUGGGUUGAGAAAUGAAAGGAUCAUUAGGCUCAAAAAGUGUUUAGGGGAGGGUCAAAGUUGGUGAUCAUCUUGACAUUUUCACCACUUUCCUUCUCCACUGUCAAAGAUUUUUAUCACAACUCUAUUGAUUGCAACAACAUUUGAGAGGUUUUUUUUUUUUUUUUUUUUUUGGCAUUGGCCUUGCUCUUACCAGGCACACUGCUUUUUCAUGCCCCAUUAUUUUGCACUUAUUUUUUUGAACUUGCACAACCAUCCUUUGCAGCAUUCUAAACCAUGUUACUUGAAUGGUUCUUUUUGCCUUGCCCCAGUGUGGGGGAUGAUCACCAACUGGGUUUAAUAUGAAAUAAAUUCAUAGGCUCAAGUGGGCUAUGCAAUGGAUAAAAGUGUAUAGGAUAAAGAAAUAACUGCUCUUCGUCAUCCUAAGGCACUUCAAAUUACCGUACGAGUUACACUGCAAAAGCAAUAUUCGAAGAUUGAUGCAAGUGGGAGCAAGAAGAUUCCUACCAUUCAUUUCAAAUUUGUCCCAAUGUGGGAUGAUUCUUGACAGGAAUAAUUUUAAAAAAUCUCCAUAAGUGUAUGGGGCUCAAAGGGGUUGAGCAAUGGAUCACCUAUAGUGUUUGUGAUAGAGAAACGAAUGCCUCUCAUUACCUUGGUUGACGUACCAUUUGCGAGAUAGCCCUAUUCCUUGUGGGCAUGGAAUUUUUCACACAACUCACUAGGGGUUAGUGUAUGAAACAGUGUAUGGAACAAGGCUUGCCUUUCGUCAUUCCAAAGUACUUUAUUUGACACAUUCAAUUCAUCUCACACAAUUCAUCAGGGAAAAUAUGCAAUAUUUGCAACAAAUUUGAAUAAUUGAACUCAUUGAAGCAAUUUAUUGAUCAUUGAAAUGCUUGCAGUUCAAAACAUGACAUGGCAAAAUUCUAUCAUGGAUAAUACUUCUUGACAGCAUCUGAAUUAACAGGAGUGGAAAACUCACGACCAUCCAUUUCUGCCAAUAUUAAGGCAUCGCCGGGAAAUAUCUUCUUUACCACAUAUGGGCCGCUGUAAUUUGGAGCAAACUUGCCUCCAGGAUCUGGAAAGAUCGGCAACAGCUUCCUUAGGACUAGGUCAUUUACCUCAAAAUGCCUUGGCCGCACCUUCCGAUUGAAAGAUCUGGCUAUUCUCUGUUGAUAUGCUUGGCCAUGACAGAGAGCUUUUAGUCUUUUCUCGUCGAUCAAGUUCAAUUGCUCGAAUCUUUGUUGUGACCAUUCUGCCUCAGAUAACUCCACUUGGGAUAAAACCCUCAGAGAAGGAAUCUCCACUUCUACAGGUAGAACUGCCUCCAUGCCGUACACCAAAGCGAACGGGGUUGCUCUAGUGGAAGUGCGGAUUGAUGUCCGGUAUGCCAUUAGUGCGAAGGGUAGCCUGUCAUGCCAAUCUCGAUAAUUCACGGCUGUCUUAGCCAAAAUCUUCUUAAUGUUCUUAUUGGCCGCUUCAACAGCCCCAUUCAUUUGAGGGUGGUAAGGAGACGAAUUCAGAUGCUUGAUUUUGAAUUCUCUGAACAACUCAUCAACAAGUUUGUUGUUCAAAUUGGUCCCAUUAUCGGUGAUGAUUGCUUUAGGGACACUAUAGCGAGCAAUUAUGUCACGUUUGACAAACUUCACAACAUUACGAGCAGUGACACUUGCAAAGGAUGUAGCUUCGAUCCAUUUGGAGAAAUAGUCUAUUGCCACCAAAAUGAAUCGAUGUCCAUUUGAAGCCUUGGGAUUGAUUGGGCCAAUCACAUCAAUACCCCACAUCAAGAAAGGCCAUGGCUCUGAAAACUGAUGCAGCUCGGUUGGAGGAACAUUUAUCUUAUUUCCAUGAAUCUGGCAACGGUGACAACUUCGAACAUGCCGGAUGCAGUCACUUUCCAGUGUGAGCCAAUAGUAGCCUGACCUCAUAAUCUUCUUGGCUAACAUAUGUCCAUUCAUAUGGGGGCCACAUACUCCUUCGUGCACUUCUUGCAUGAUUUGAGUGGCUUCGACUGCAUCUAUACAUCGCAACAAGACAGAAUCGUAAGAUCUCUUAUACAAAUUCUCACCACUGACGAAAAAUUUCGAAGCCAUCUUCAUGAUAUACUUCCUAUCAGCCUGAGUACUUCCUUCGGGGAAUUCCUGCUUCUUAAUGUAAUUCAUGAUAUCGUAAUAUCAUGAUUUUCCAUCAGGUUCCUCAGUCACAAUCAUACAAUAAGCUGGCUUCGGCAAAACUUCUAUUUUCAGGGGUUCAACGUCCAACCCAUCAGUGACUUGCAGCAUAGAGGACAACGUCGCAAGUGCGUCUGCAAAUUGAUUAUGAGACCUCGGUAAGUAUUGAAACGAAACUUCCUCGAAUUCUUUCACCAGAUUUUCCAAAUACUUAUGGUAUGGGAGUAACUUGGCAUCUUUGGUCUUCCAUUCUCCCACGGUCUGCAGUAUGAUUAGUGCGGAAUCUCCGAACACUUUUAACUUAGCCACACCCAUCUCAAUUGCUGCUUGAAGCCCAAUGAUGCAAGCUUCAUACUCGGCCACAUUGUUAGUGCAUGGAAAUAUCAAUUUUGCAGCUACCGGAUGGUGUUGUCCAUCUGGAGAUAUCAGAACCGCUCCAGUACCCGAACCGGAUAGGUUUACAGCUCCAUCAAAGAACAUCUUCCAUGAGUCUUCAUUUACACUCAAGACAUGGUCAUCAAGGAAACUGUCAUCAUCAUUAGGGACUCUUGAAUUCUCGGCCAAUAGAUCAGCGAUCGCUCGGCCCUUAAUCGAAUUUUGUGGCAUGAAUUGCACAUCAAAUUCAGAGAUCAAGAUUUGCCAUUUGGCUAACUUACCCACCAAAGCUGGUCGAUCAAGUAAGUACUUGAUAGGGUUGUUCUCAGUCACGAGGAAUGUCUGAUAAUGUAGGGUGUAUUGUCACAACCUAUGCAACACCCACACCAAUGCCACACAAGUCUUUUCAACCUCAGAAUACUUCAACUCUGAUACGGUAAACUUCUUGCUGAGGUAAUAAAUUGCCCGUUCUUUUCUAUCAACAGGACUUUCUUGAGCCAACAUUGCGCCCAAUGACUCACUAUGAAUAGUGAGGUAGAGAAUCAAAGGAUGCCCUGGUGAGGGUGGGACAAGAACUGGUGGAUUCAUCAAGUAUUGCUUCAGCUUGUUGAACGCUUCUUGACACUCAUCAUCCCAGUUGACUUGUGCAUUCUUCUUUCGAAGCUUGAAGAAUGGCUUGGUAGUUUCAGAGAGUUGAGAAAUGAACCUCGCUAUGUAAUUCAAUCUCCCUAAAAGGCUCCAGACUUCUUUCACCGUUGAUGGAGGUUGCAAUUCACAUAUGGCCUUAGCUUUGGAAGGGUCGAUCUCAAUCCCUUUACUGCUCACAAUAAAUCCGAGUAAUUUACCGGAUGUUGCUCCAAACACGCAUUUAGCGGGAUUUAGGCGAAGCUUGAACUCACGAAGUCGAUCGAACAACUUCUUCAAUGUUUCGAUGUGGCUUCUUCCUGGUCGGGUCUUUGUAAUCAUAUCAUCAACAUAGACUUCAAUCUCCUUAUGCAUCAUAUAAUGAAAUAAUGCAACCAUGGCUCGCUGGUAGGUUGCCCCUGCAUUCUUGAGUCCGAAAGGCAUGACUUUAUAAUGAAAGGUUCCCCAUGGGGUAAUAAAUGCAGUCUUUUCCUUAUCUUCCUCCUUCAUCCUUAUCUGAUUGUAUCCAGAAAAACCAUCCAUAAAUGAGAAUAGUUCAAAGCCAGCAGUACUAUCGACAAGGACAUCUAUGUGUGGUAAUGGGAAAUCAUCCUUCGGACUAGCCUUGUUUAGAUCCCGAUAGUCAACGCAAACUCGAACUCGACCGUCCUUCUUCAUCACUGGUACGAUAUUAGCCACCCAUUCAGGGUACUGUGAGACUUCAAUAAACCCCACAUUCAAAAGCUUCAUCACCUCUUCCUCUAUCUUCUUUGAGAGUUCGGGCUUAGUCCUCCGCAGCCUUUGCUUCUUAGGUGGCACAUCUGGAUUAGUAGGUAAGCAAUGCUCCACGAUUGACGGGUCUAGUCCAGGCAUGUCAGCGUAGGUCCACGCAAAAAUGUCUUGAUAUUCCUUCAGUAAUUGAAUUAGGUGCUCAGUCUCAUCUUUGGGGAGACCCGCCCCAAUUUUCACCUCUUUGGCUUCUUCAAUGUCACUCAAAUUAAUAGUGACAGUCUGCUCAGAUGUGAGAGCCUUAACUCUUUCAUGUUGUUCCCAGCUAUAUUGCGCUUCAAUAGAGUCUUUGAUCGAGUCUUCAGGAUCAUCAUCAUUAGCACUUGUUGCAGUGGAUUGGACUAUUUCCACAUCUUUGCAUGCUAUAGGAUUGUUCUCUCGAGGGCCAAGGCCCAUCUCUUCAUGGGGUCCUUCAUUAAUGGCUCCUAUGAUGAGGUUGUCGAAUAAGCUUGCGACUCCUUCCAGCUCAUCAUUAGGGUUCCCUGCUUUUGGGGGUGUCAGAUCAUCCAUGCCACCCCAUCCAUCUGGGACUAUCUCACUAGGAUCAAUGUAGUAGCUAGGAGGGGUUGAAUACUUCACCAGGUAAUCAAACUUGCCACUAGGCUGCCCCAAAGUGUCUAUCACUUCCGCUUCUUCAUGCAUCAUUCUUGGAGGACCAGGGAAUGUCUCGUGAAUGCUCGGAGGUAGUGGGUUUUGCCUCCCUCGCCCUUGGUCAGGUGGCGAGCUCCGCCUUUCUUGUCUUCGUCCUUCAGAACCUCCUCCACCUCGUCCAUGGUACCCUAAACCAGCAGAACGGGACCUCUAAGGGGCUUCAAUGGGGCUUCGAAUGCCCUGACCAUUUCUCCCAAGACCAUUUCCAGGGACGAAACCAUUCACGACCAUUACUCUUCCCACCAUGAGAGUAGCAUCUGAUACUUCAGGGGUAAGCGGUGAUGAACCCCGAGAAGCAUGUAUGGUGGACACCAAUUCGAAUGAGUGGUAACUUGAUUCAACCUGGGAAUCCGACUCUACAUAGGGGAUAGCCGUCUCAUGAUAGAUCCAGUGGUCUUCCUCACCAUACACAGUGACCAACUUCUUUUCGAUCACAAAUUUCACAGCUUGAUGUAGACUUGAAGGUACUGCUCCAGCAGUGUGUAUCCAGGGACGACCUAGCAAGAAAUUGAAUGCGGUAGGGAUGUCCAGCACUUGGAAGGGAAUGUUGAAGAUGACCGGCCCUAUUUGGACAUCGAGAUGGAUUUCCCCAAUCACCUCCUUUUUUGUUCCAUCGAAAGCUCGCACCGAAGUUUUCGCAGCAUGUAUCCUUGACGGGUCUACCUUGAGGCGGUGAAGAGUGGCCAACGGACAAAUGUUCAGAGCGGACCCAUUAUCGAUGAGCACUCGGGACAUAUGAGAAGACUUGUGCUUAACGGAUAUGUAGAGUGCUUUGUUAUGUCCCCUGCCUUCAAGAGGGAAUUCCUCAUCAGAGAAGGCAAUUAAAUCCUUGAGAAGGACCGAUCCCACGAAUUCUUCCAGCUUGUCAGCUUCCACGAUCUCUGGCACACGGAUUUCGCUCAACACCUUCAUUAGUGACUUUUGAUGCACGGGGGAUGUCAUCAAGAGCUCAAGUAGGGAGAUCUGAGCGGGCAACUUUCGUAAUUAGUCAACCACGUUAUACUCGCUUGCUUUGAUUACGGCCAGAAAUUCCUUAGCCUCUUCAUCAGUGACCGGCUUUACAGGUUGAGUACUGGCUUGACCAUAAGUCCGUCCAAACCUUGUAACAAGGUCCACAUCCAGGUCAUAAGACCAAGGCACUGCCUUAUUAGUGACAUACUCAUACGGCUGAGGCACCUCUAUCACUAUCUCUUCGUCAGAUGCAUCCUCUAAUGGGGGCAUGUCUUCAAGCGAAGGAUCAACCUCUUUCUUGUCAGCAUCAAGUGUAGCUUGCUCCUCCUCCCAAUCGAUGAUGAGGUGGGAGAUAGUAGAAACUAUGCAGUUAUGAUCAGCAUACACAAUAAUGCCGUCAUCUACCAUUUUGGCAACUCUUUCUCUCAUCACCGAUAGAGGGACAUCUUCCUGACCUCGGUAAUACCCAGCUCUCACUAGCCCGUUGUAGGCAUCUGCCACGUGCACCUUUGAAUUCCUGAUCCGUCCAACUUCAGGUUCCAGGAUAGCAUUCACUGUACCAUCAUGCUCUGGUAGCGGAUUUUUUUGAACGUUCGGCCGAGCAGUCUGAAAUGAAAAGGCCUUUGUAUCCAGGAGAUUUUGGAUUUUGUGCUUGAGGGUGAAACAUUCAUCAGUUGAAUGCCCCAGUUCACCGUUAUGGUAGUCACACUUCUUCGUUGGGUCUUAACCACGAAUGCCUUCACGGUUAGGGCGCUUUGGUUCACUAGUAAGCAAAUCCUUUUUUCGGAGGACUGUCAGCACUUGGGAUGGAGAUCCAGGGAGAGGGGAGAAAUGCCUUCUAUUAUUCGCUUGGGCGAAUGAUUGACGGCCAGCGGGUUGUUGCUGUCUUGGGUUCACCUGUAUAGCUGGGGCACAUUUGGCACUUUCUUGGCUAUAAGCCACGUUUACAUCCACAGCCGCUUCCUUCUCCUUCUUGGUAGAGAACCUUUUAGUAGAUGGCUCAGAAAACCAUCCUUCCCUUAUCCCCAUCUCGAUCUGUUCUCCUACAGGAAUAAGCUGAUUGAAGCUCUCAACAUAUGUACUGGCCAUUCGAUUACGGAACUCAGAUGGAAGGGUCUUCACGAACAACUUCAUCAACUCCUUGUUGGUAGGCUCAGGAGUAAUUUGAGCCGCCAAGUUUCUCCAUCUCACAUCAUAUUCUUUAAAUGACUCACUCCUUUUCUUUUCCAUCCGCUCCAGGUCUUCUCGGGAAGGCGCGAUGUCCAUGUUGAACUUGUACUGUUUAAGGAAUGCGUCCGCCACUUCGUUCCAGGUUUCAAGGAGGUUUACGUUCUUCAUCACGUACCAGUUUAGUGCGGGCCCGGUCAAACUCGCAUGAAACGAUUGGAUCAUAAGGGGCUCAUUUUUGACAUGCUGGGCCAUGCGCACAUGGUACAUUUGCAAAUGAGACUUUGGACAGGAUGUCCCGUCAUACCUCUCAAACUCUGGCAUUUUGAACUUGCUCGGCAUUUUAACCUUCUCAUAGAUUGAGAGGUCAAACGGGAGUGAGCUUUGAGACUCCUGCAACUGUCUCACUUUCUCUUCCAGCUUUGCAACGCGCCCAUCCUAAUCUGUCUUGGGAACCAUGUCAUCUUCCAGUUCGGGCAUUUCGUCAUCACUCAUUUGGGCCCUAUUUGCUUGCCUUGGGACUACUAUCUCGGGGAGAGCAGGUGGAGGAAUUGGGUUCACUUGGAGGGAUUGGAGUUGAGCUGUUACAAGCUGUAAGGAAACGGCUAAUUGUUUGAGUUGAUCUUCCACGGAGGACAUGCAAUCACGCAUCUCGCCUUGGUCGGCCAUUCUUGCUCUUAAUCGUGUGAUGAUGGGUGAGCGUAGAGGAUCCGUUGUUACCUAAAACAAAGAGGUAAUGUAAGAACCAAUGACAAGAUAGAAAAUGGCCCAUGACAACGGUCUAAUCGCCUGAUUUUUAUUCAAAAUUCACUAGAAACAUUAAACUAAACAAUGAACUAAGAAUUGAAAUUUAAGUCCCUAAACAUUGAACUAAAAAUUGAAUUGAAAAUUGAAAUCAAGCUCCCUAGACAUUGGACUACGAAUCAAAAUUCAAAAGAUCUCAUUUUAUAUGCUUUCGGGAUUUCAACGCCUUGCGAAGCUUUUUAUUUUCAGCUUCAAUCAUUUCCACUUUCCGCUUAAGAUGCUCAAUUUGUACUCGUUGAGUGGGCUUCUUGGUCACAUCAGGGACCACUGGACGUAAGGCCGCAGGAAUCCGGUGCUGUUGAAUGUAGAAUGCCGACGCAUGGUGGACCUCUUCUUCGCCUUUCAGUCUUUUGGGCACCAAAAUCUUCUCUAGGUGGCAUUCAUUCCAUGCGGCAAUGAUCAUCUGAAUCUCGUUGAAGUAGUUAUAAUCUGUUCGAAUGAAACGAACUUGGAACAUCUCUGUUUUUAGUGGUGGAGGAACUUCCUGAAGAGCUCGGUACUGACGGGCCACCCUAUAUGGGUAAUAAGAAGUCGCACCAGAAAGACCCAGCAACGGGAUUGGCUCAUCAUGCUUGUGUGAGAAACGAACCUCCUCAACCCGGAACCAUUUAGUAUGCCAUAGGAAUGCCUUAGGAUUAUGAUUUUUUAAAAAAUUAAUCCAACGAGCGUACUGUUUAUUUGGAGAAAAACGCUCUAAGACCGCAAAUUUUUGUAUGGGGUGUCUAAAAUCAUCAAUCUUAAAUUGUUUUAUGAGAUGCCCAAAUCCUCUUAUGUGGGAGAAAAACCAUAUUUGUAAAAGUUCAGGGAGGGCACGCAUGGUCUUUUCUUCAUUUUGUUUGAAACGGUUUAAUGACAAAAAUGUUUCAGCUAAAACCAUAUUGACAUAAUUUAAACCGUCACAAACACAAUUAACCACCCAUGAAAUUGAAGGAUUAAUGGCAUUUCUUCGAUAAGGAAAAACAAUUAGCCCGAAAAAUGCUAACAUGAAGAUCCUAGCUUUUGAAAUCAUUGAUUGAUUUGCAAAACACUUUUCCAAAAACGAGAAUGGGCAUGCAAAAACAAUUGGCUUUGACAACUUUCCUUACUCUUUCGGCUUCGAUUUCUAAAAACUGUGAUAAUUCCGAAAUAGAAUCUAUAUUGAUAGGUGGUCUAACAAGCUCCUUUUCCAAGGACAUUCCAAUGGCAAUACUAUACUCUUCUAGUGUUGGAGUCAAUUCGUACUCACCAAAUAUGAAUGUGGAAGUUUGUGGACACCAGAAAUGAGGGAGUGCUUGUAUCACACUAGAGUGGAUGUUGAUCUCCAAUAAUGGGAGAAGUCGGGCAAUCCUAGUCUUCACAUACCUCUGGCCCUCUUGAUCUAACUGAUCCAGCCAUAUCUUGAGCUCUUUUUUGGGAGUGGAAAUGAAUUGUACAUCGGUUCUCCCCAUAACAUAUAAAACAAAACCGGCGACGAAACCUAUUGUCAUGGACCGACAAAAUUGCAAUAAAGUAAGUAAAUUGCGAAGUAAGAAUUUAGACAACUUACUUUCACCGGAAGGUAUGACAAGCACAUAGACACACACAUGAAAUGUGAGGCUCGAUUUCUAUCUAAAUGGCUUAACAAAGUGGAGCUAAGAGGAUGAUCUGACCGUUGCAGUCUUGCAUUAACGUGUCAGGACCCCCUAACUCCGGCUCAGUCGAAUGGAAUGUCCAAUAGUCACGCAGUCUCGCGGAUAUGGACAAACACAUUCGACACAAUGAAAAGACUUUCGGGGAAGAGAAGGUCAACCUCUACAUAGCGGUCUCGCUUUGGAGGAAGUAUCAUUCUCAACACCAUCCUAAAAAUCUUAUCGCAGCCCAGGUCCGGCCACAGGUUGUGUGUGCAAUAGUGUAGUGCAAAAAAAACAAUAAAACAUGCACAAUAUUUUAAAUGUAAACAACACUUCUAAUCAUGGAAAAAUAAAUCAUUAAUCCCACACUCCAUCCUGCAAGACAAAGGUUAGCACAGACUACUCCCCUUAUACCUCCCAUCUGCAAGAACAUUUAACACCUUAGAAAUGUUAGGGACGUACCUGGGAUCCUCGCUGCCAAACAAAAACAUUUUAAAAGAAAAAGAUAAAAAAUUGGCCUAAGUCCACUAAGUGUUUUAACACAAGUCCCCAGCGGAGUCGCCAAGCUGUCGCGACCUAAAUUUUCGGGUGCACCACCUAAAACUAGGUUAAUGGACUACUAAGUUUUUACACUUAGCUCGGGCUCUCCCAAGCCCAUACCAAAUCGCGACUUAAGUCUAAAUUUUUAAACAUGCAAGAGGUUAUUAUCUAGGAGUCGCCACUAAUCGGUUUAUGGUAGGUCGAUUAGACACUUAAGUAAAAUAAAGGGAGAUUUAUUUUACUCCUACGAACUAGAGACUGAGGGUACGGGGACUUGGUUACACUAGAAUUUUCUAAUGCCCUUUCGGUACCAUUUCUUUUUAAUUUUUCAAAAUGUUUUUGCAAGUAGAUUUAUUUUAACCUAAAUUACUAUCAUGCAAAUGUGAUGAUCACACGGGUGCUCAUCCAUUAUUUAAAACAUUCAAAUAAAUAAAUUGCAUCACACAAAGCAAGUAAUCAGUUUUUUUGGAUUUUCUUAAAAUUGGAGUUCUUUUAUAAAAAUGCAUUUUUUAACUAAAUGACUUAAUCCUAUUAAUAUGCAAAUUCUAAUUAAAUGGGUCAAUUAUGCAAAUUAAUUAACAUGCACCUCAUGACCUAAUUUUACUAAUGAACAAAUUCUGAUUAAAUGCCUCUAUUAUGCGAACUAGUUAACAUGUGCCUAGUAUUUUUGCAAUUUUUUUUAUUGGAAUUCAAAAUUUAUGAAAACCCUAAUUAACCUAUCUAAAAAGGGAUAAUUUUCUAAUUUAUUCUAGGGAUUAAUUUGACUUAAAUCCUAUCCUAUCUCAGAAAACUAUUUUUUUAUUUUAAAAAAAAAAGAGAAUGAGAAUAUGAAAAUGUGCCGAUUAUAUCUAAGACUCUAAAAAGGCUAUUUAAGUCUAAUCCUAACUUAUUUUUUAAAAUAUCUAAAAAUGCAGUCCUAAAAAUAUAAUCCUAAAAAUUUGAUUAAUUAAACCUAGAUGUCUAUUAUAUUAACCUUAAUGUCCUAAGCUCAUGCAAAGUUUUUUUUUGAAUAUUUUGAUUUUUGAUUUUUUAGUUUCUUUUUAGUUUUUUUUUUAAGUUGAAUAAUUGUUAAACAAUGGUUAAAUCUAAAGAAUUAAUAUAAUCACUAAAUAAAGGAUCAAAAUAAUCGGAAAAAUAACCUGACGUCUCACAGGUUAAAUUAACAAUUAUUCUAACCCUAAUCACCACAAUAACUUAAAAUAAUUAAAAAAUCUAGUCCGAAGUCUUAUGGACCAAAUUAAAUAAUUAUUAUGAUUUAACAAUUGAGAUUCUACCAAAAAGCCCAAAAAUUAAAAAAUAAUUAGAAAAAUGACCCGAUGUCUCUUGGAUCAAAUUAAUAAUUAUAUUAAUUUCGGACAGAAUUCCUACGGAUAAUGCAUACUAAAUUUACUAAUAUUAACAUCCACCAUUACAAAUUAAAUACCUAAACUAAAAAUGCUAUCAAAUGAAAUAAGCAAAAAUAACGUAACAAAUAAAAUAAACUAAACUAUAAAAGUAAAACAAAAUAAAAUAAAAAGAACAAAAAACUACCUAAAGGUAAAAGGGGGGGUAAACCGGACAGCGCUGGUCUGUCGUCGGGGCUCCGGCGGGGAGCGGCUGCAGGUGGACGGCGGCGGGCUUGAGCUCGGGGCAGCAGAGAUCGGUGGAGCAAGGGCACAGCGCGGGGUCCGUCGGGGCAGAGAAGGGUCGCGGCGACAGGGCGGGGGCUGAGGCGCGGUGGCGGAGUCGUCUGCGGUGCGGGGCUCGGGCGGAGGCGCGGUGGCGGAGUUGUCUGUGGUGCGGGGCUCGGGUCCAGUCGCGAGGGGCUGUUGGCUGCAGAUUCGACGGCGUCGACGGUUGCGAUGGUGGGCGCGAAGAGCGAAUCGGCGAGGUGGCGAGGCGCGACGGUGGCCGGCGUCGUGGUGCAGGCGCGGGCACGGGCUGGUGUCCACGCGAAGAAGAAGAAGAGUUGCUGCUGCUGCUUUUUCUUUUUUUCUUUCUUCUUUUUUUUCUGUCUCCUCACACGACGUCUCUCUGCUGUACCUUUCUGCAGAAACCAAAACUCACUUUUGGUGGACUUUGACUCAUGCAAAAAGGAAAAAUGAACAAUAGAAAUAGAAGAUGAUCCCCUUUGUACGAAUUCUCUUCCCUAUUUUUUUUAGCUCUCGCUCACUUUUCUUUUUCCUUGCACUUCUGCAGAUUGUCAGAAGAGAAGAAAAAUGACUUUUCUUGGACGACAAAGGAGGUUUCCUCUUCUUCUUUUUUCACUUUCACGAAUCCUCUCGGGUUUUCUUCUCACGAAAAUUUUCACAAAUUCCCCCAAUUUUUUCGCAACCCCCAACCUUGUGCAGGUCAACUCCUUUUUAUAAUGUUUUCGCACGGCCACUUUCUAUGGUAAAUUUCAAACUUCCAUCUUCUGUUGCAUUAAAUUAAGAAUGCAAAUCGGAGCAUGAUUUCGCAAUCAACUCGAUUUUGCGCCGAUUCCUUCCAUUUUAUAAAAAUCCUUGCCCUUUAUUUACCUGAUUUUAAAAUUGUUUCUACAUUUAACAAAAUCUGAAUAUUCAUCAGAAUUUUAAAAUUCCAUGCAUAAUCAAUCAAAUCAAUCUCCCUCAUUUUUUUUUUCAUUUUUUCCUUUUAUUUGUUCCAAUGCAAUUUUUAUUUUCUUUAUUUUCCUAGAUUUGCUAAAAAUAGGUGUCAACAUCCCCCGUCAUGUGAUUGAUACACCCACUAUCGAUGUACCAUGUUUCACUUUUAUUGUUAUUUGCUGCUUGGCCUGCGUAGAAUGUAUUCUCUUCACUUUCUUUUUUUUCUACAUAGUUUGCUCGAUUAUUUGUUUUCGAGCGACAAUCUUUUUCUACGUGGCCAUAUCUUUUACAAUAGUGGCAUUGUUUUUUAUUUUUAAACCAACAAUCCUUCUUAAAAUGAUUUGUUUUCUUGCAAAUACCACAAGGUGGAUAAUUUUCAUUUUUUAUAAUUUCUCCUCCGCUUUUGUUUUUCCAUGAGCUCCUUCCACCAUUUUUAGAUUGAUGACACCGUAUAUUUACUUUAGACUAAAAUGCACUUUCAACUGAAUCUUCAUCUUGUGCCAUUAGUCUUUUCUCAUAUGCUUCUAGAGAGCCAAUUAAUUCACUUAUUGAUAGGGUCAUCAAGUCUUUAGUUCCUUCUAUAGUUGUAACUAUGGAGUUGUAUUUUUUGGUAAGUGACACCAAUAUUUUCUCAACAACCCUUUGAUCAGUUAUCCCAUCUCCAUAGGCUCUCAUUUGAUUAACUAGUUCCUUUAAUUUUCCACAAUAUUCUUGUACGGUCUCAUAAUUUUUCAUUUUAGAAUUUUCAAAAUCUCUUCUUAGAGUUUGAAGGCGAAUAGUGCGUACCUUUUCCGAUCCUUGAAAUUCUUCUUGUAGUGUAUCCCAAGCCUCUUUUGCAGUCCUUGCUCCAAUAAUUCUUGGAAAUACGGUUUCCGAGAGUGCUUGUUGGAUAAAAUAUAGCGCCCUUGCAUCCUUUUGUAAUUGAUCCUUCGAAACACUUGCACCUUAUGGUGAAGCCUCGCAACCUUUUUCCACAAUGUCCCAUAAGUCUUGGGCCAUCAAGAAUGUAGUCAUUUUUAUGCUCCAAAAGUCAUAGUUGUUCCCAUCAAAAAUGAGAAUGGGAAAUGAGGAUGAGGUAGAAUUGGCCAUGGUUUAGUUAGUGGGUAUUUGGAAAGGGUAGUUUUAGGAGUGGGUAGGUAGGACAAACACCCAAUACCAACCAAAGACGUGGCUCCGAUACCACUGUUGGAAUUUGUGGAAGCGUGUGAUUAAUGUGUGUGCAAGUGUGUGAACUUUCAAGAGGGCUAAGGAAAGAACAAUAUGGGCAAGAAAAUAAUUUGCUGCAAGGGAACACAAGGGAACGAAAUAAAACCUUUUAUUUAUUGAUUUGUAGUACAAAGUACAAAGGAAGGGGAGGAGCUUACCUUUUUGCUCUGCCUUUCUACGCUCCCCCCUCCUUCCCUAUUUAUAGGGACACUCCACCGACUUAGCCCAUCUUCUAGGAGUUUCUUUUACAAUUUUUUUUCUAGAAAAAUAGGCUUUUUAAAGGCAAAUAUCUCUGCCAUUUUUAGAGAUAAUUCCAUAGAGUCUUCUAGAGUUUUUCUUGAAUUUUCUAGCUCAUAUUUAUCUCGAAGUUUCUAGAAAAUUUGAUCAAUAAUUU